UGGGGAAUUUUGCGCAAUGGGCGAAAGCCUGACGCAGCGACGCCGCGUGGGUGAUGAAGGCCUUCGGGUUGUAAAGCCCUGUGGGGAGGGAAGAAUAAGGGGCGGCUAAUACCCGCACCGAUGACGGUACCUCCUUAGCAAGCACCGGCUAACUCUGUGCCAGCAGCCGCGGUAAGACAGUGGGUGCAAACGUUGUUCGGAAUUACUGGGCGUAAAGCGCGUGUAGGCGGUCUAGCAAGUCGGAUGUGAAAGCCCUUGGCUCAACUGGGAAGUGCCAUCCGAACUGCGGGACCUGAGUCCCGGGGGGGAUUGUUGAAUUCUCGGUGUAGAGGUGAAAUUCGUAGAUAUCGAGAGGAACACCGGUGGCGAAGGCGGCCAUCUGGACGGUGACUGACGCUGAGACGCGAAAGCAUGGGGAGCAAACAG
rnacentral:rRNA from 1 species